CCCUUUUAAUUUUAACAAAGAAUAGAUACAUUGAUUAAAUGAGGGGUAGAUAAAGGGCAUGCUCAUUGUGCCGGUGUUUCAUUAGAGGUGCUUGGAAAUAGACAGUGAGAGGCCCACGGGGAUCCCAUUAAGGCUGCUGAAGCAUUUUCCUGUUUUGUGAGCGUGCCUUUGGUGAUUUUGAAAUACUGUAUCACUGGACAGGGUGAUUCUAAUAUAAGAGUUGUUUUAAUCCAACCAGAAACAGAGUAAGAAUAAAGCUGUGAGCCUCCUCCUGAGUAGAGAGAAUUUGCAGAAUUUUUGAGUAUCUCUUGUUAAAGAAAAGGGAAAAGAGAUUCUGUGUACGGCAGACCGUGAAGUUUCUAGAUUAAAUCAGAGAGAACUAAUGUGGCCGAAGGUUGGAUCUGAUAUGAGGCGAACAGAAGACCGGUCUAAAAAGAUUAAGAGGUACGCACAAACCUGUUCAAUAAGCAAAUUUGUGCAAAUUGGCUGAAUUCUAAAUUAUCUGUUCGCUGAGUAGAUGAUCUUAACUACUAAAUUGGCGCAGUAGGGGUAAAACUGAAUUCUCGAGAAUAAAGUAAAACGUUGAAGUAAUGAAUGAGUAACUUGGAAGUAAUGAGAAGCUUUGAAGCAAGGAUAAUGAAACUUUGAGGAACAGACAGUACUGAGUUAAAAGGUUAUAUGGUAUUUCAUGGUAAAGAAGAAAAAGAGACCAAUGCAUGUUUAGGAAUAGAGAAGAAUAUAAGAGUUAUUGGUCAGCUUAUGGUUUAAUAAGUGUCAAACUCACGGGAUUGGAGAAUCCUGUACUUCUUUGAGACUUCAAAGAGGAGCUCCGGCGUGGGCAUACGUCAGGUGGUGUUGCCGAGAGUUGUGGGCUCGGUGAAUAGCUAAUGAUCAAGAGGAUCAUUUUGGGAGACGCUCAUUGGCAAGUAAAGGAUUAAGUUCGGACGAGGAAGUCCGACAGAAACACCUGGUGCUGUCAGGAUGUUUAAGUGACACAGAAGUUCAGAAAAUCGAGUCAGAAAUGGUUUUGUGGCUCUUGGUAAACUGAUUUUGAAGGAAAAUCAGUGUUUAUUGUGCUGAAGUAACAUAUCCGGCGUGGUCUGAGGAAAAGAAAUAAAUCGGUUAAUGGCUGAUAUAUUUAUAUGAAUUUUGGUGGAUCUGCUGAGGUCCAGAAAAUAACGAACGUUAAUAAAUGAUCCAGGAAGAAUUGCCCUGGGUCUGUGUCUGUGUGUGUGUGUGUUGUUCAGUGACAACAUGCACAGUUUAAAAUUGGGCCCUGUUCCUUCCUCUUUUUAGUUUCAAAACACAAAGGCUGUUGGAUGAAGAAUUACUGUGUAAGGAACGGCUUCACUUUUGAUUAGGGAAAUAAUAUGCUUACUUUUGGGUUUAUGAAGAUCUCGUAACAAUCUGGGGGAGAUGCCGGGGUAAAAAGAGUGAGCUCGGACGAAGGGGUCCGAGAAAAGAACACCGUGAGUUGAGCAAGGUGUUUAACUGACUCAGGAUUUCAGAGAAUCGAGUCAGCUGUGAUCUCGAGUUUUAAUGGCCUGCAAAAGAGUGGAUAACAGCGCUGACAAAAAGUCUCGGGAGAACAAACAUAAAGGUGAUCUUCUCCAGAUUACAAUAGGUAGAGGAAAAGGCUAAGUCUCUGUCUAAAAGGAUUGCCGCGAGCCAAUCCAGUCUAAAAAGCAGAAAGAACUAUUUUCUUAAAAACAAAGUAAAACAAAUAAAUGAGUUGAUGUUGCUGAGAGUGAAGACUGAAUAUUUGCGAGAUAGUCUCCACUGUCAGCAAUACCUGAUGUUAAUGCAUGUGAGUGAAUGUGUGUAAAUGGAUGGUGACUGGACGGACGAGGCAGACCAUAGGUUGGACCGACUGGACACUGAGAUAAAGACUGGACUAAGGUUAGACACAUGACUGAUAACUGUUCUGGUUUAAGUUUCCUUUCUUAUAAUACAGGUUGGAUCAUAAGUGAGGAAAAACUGAGUAUGAAAUGUGAAGUUCUGGUUAACACACAGGUUUUUGUUUCUAGGAAGUUCCAAGGAUGCAGGCUGGGGAUGGAGCCAAGAAAAGAUUUGACAUAAUGAUUAAUUUGAUUUCAUUCCUUAAACACAGGUUUGAAGAGCCGGAGCAUGAAUAUCUAAUAUGAUAUGACUAACCUUUUUCUUUUAAUCUCCUAAGCUCGAGUGAAGGAUUUUGAGUUUGUAACACAUAAGAUGUGUCACAAAAGGGGGGAGUUACAGGAUUUAAGGUUUAAUUUGAAAUGGGUUUUAGGAUCGUUUUAUGACGUUUGGGGUUUUGAUAAUUUAGAUAUAGAAAUUGUUUUGUGGUUCUUUUGAUCUGUUUCUAUGCUUAGAUGGUGAUGGUUUAUAUCUUACCCUGGGCGUGUUUAAUAAAACUAAAAGUGUUGCUCACACACAUGAAGGGCAUGGAGAUUAAGUAAAGUUAAUAUAAAGGACAGAGCCCAGAACAUGAUAUGGUGAAACAACUUUGAAUGAUUAAAGGAACCUUAGAUGAAUAUAGUAGAUUAGUGAGGUGUAGCAGAGAGAGGCUUUUUGUUUUCUAUCCUUUACAGGAGAAGAUUUCAGGACCACAGCAACCACAGGGGUGGCAAGAAUCCUGGAAGCCUGAGAUCGAACGGAACCAACCAGAGAAAGGAGAAGAACAGAGCACAAAGACACCUAGUUGUUUAUAUAACAAAGAAGAUCAAAAGCUUGUUAGACAUAGGUUAUAAUGGAAGCAUAAAAGGGAUGAGAGGAACUUUACAUAACAUAGAAAUCCUGCAACAAUUCGUAAAUUGCCCAAACACAGUGUUCAGACCGGAUAUGCGCUACCCGUUAAAGGGGGCGAAGAAAUCAGGCCUAAGUUUGAAAAAUGAAAUGGGUUAACUCGAUAGAGGAUGUUUCCAAAGGUCGAGAAAAUAAUGUAGGACCUUUUACCAGGAGAAAGCUAAUUGUAUCUUUUACACUUUACAGUGUGCAUUGAGGGAAGUCAGGAAUAGUUUAAAUUAGGAUUAAAAAAUUGAACUAGGUGGAAAGGGGGUGUAGCAAGUAGAUUUAGGGCAGCUCACAGCCUGGCGUAAACGCAAGGUGCUGUCACACAGCUUAAGUUAUUUGUUUGAUUUAUUUUAAACAUUGAAAACAUACAACCCGUUGAGGAGACAGAUAGGGUUGGGGAAUUGAAAGGUUUUGUUUGUUUAGCAUAAUCUCUUUUGUUAUAUUUUAGCUUUAACAGGAACAUGCCUCUCUGGAGCUUCUCUCCUGAUGCUACCCUGCCAAAGACCCUUAUCCAUAGAGACUAUGUCAGCUCCCAAACAGACAACAACAAACCAAAUCUAGCAAUAAAACAAAUUAAACAUUAAUAGUAACAAAGCAAGAACAAUACAGAAUCCACAUCUGAACCGAAGAAUAAAACAGUGAAAUAUGGAUUAUUAAAUAUUAGGUCUCUCUCGUCAAAGCCUCUGUUAGCUCACGCCAAGCGGUCGCAGCAGAUGGUUGCCCGUACCUGAGCCUGGUUCUGUCGGAGGUUUCUUCCUGUUAAAAGGGAGUUUUUCCUUCCCACUGUUGCCAAAGUGCUUGCUCAUAGGGCGUCACAAGAUUGUUGGGUUUUUCUCUGUAUCUAUGAAGCGCCUUGAGGUAACUUUUGUGGUGAUUUGGCGCUAUAUAAAUAAAAUUCAAUUGAAUUGUAUUGAAGUAAACUUAAUGUGAUAAAUUAGAAUUAGUUCAUUUCUCAAGUGAGAAAUGAAAAAGGGGACUGGUGUUAGGAAUAAAAGAAAUAUUUUUAAUGUGUACUCUAAUAAUGAAGGCUUGUAGAGCAAGGCCACCUUUGACUCACAAACAAGUGCUCAGCCAGAUUGAAAAACAGGAAGUUUUAGUGCACAAGGCAUAUUAAUAGAUAUAGACACAAAAAAGAGGAACUCCCCAUACAAACAAUGUUCAAGACUGUGUGACGUGUAAAGUACCGAAAUAACACCAUAUAGGUCACAGCUGAUGAUUCUAAUGUUAGAGAGCUCUUGCAACUGGCGUCUGAGCUGUGCAGAGGUCUCUCACCCCCGGAAGAUGAUUGAAUAAAGAAAGACAGGUACUUAUGUAUGUCAGCAUAAGGUGGAGUCCAACAGAAGCAAGGCACCCUACAUGCGCACAGCAUGCAGCAGGGGUUGCCAAAAUAAUAUAGAAAACAGCACAUGCAGUGAGAGAACACCCACUAAAAGUUCUGACUACACAUAGUGUGGUGGCAUAUGUGAACUCGCAGGCGUUCGACUAUGACAUCAUUAGCACAACAGAGACUGAGUAAAGUUUUAGAUGCUCCAAAUCUGACAUUUACACAUGAAGGAAUCAAUAUGGCAGAUUUAAUGGGAUCAGGAGAACCUCAUGAUUGUACUAAGAAAGCAGAAGUUGAAGGGAAAGUCAGGGAAGAUUUAAAAGCAGAACCUAUCCCUGGAGCUGAGGAUUGGUUCAGAGAUGGCUGCUGUCAUCGUGAUGAAGAAGGAUCGAAAGCAGGCUAUGCUAUAGUCUGCAAACAAGGAACUGAAUUUGAGCCCACGAGGAGCUCCAGCAGUGGAAGGAGCCACGCUGGACGGGUCCUUAUGAGGUCGUUGCCAGAACAACUACAGCAGUUCAACUGAAAGGGAAAGGCGAUACCUGGCAUCAUUGGUCGCAGUGUGCGCCAGCACAUGAGAGCUUGCCAGAGGAAAACUCGUCUUUAACUAACACAGGUGUGAACGAUAACGAGCAGAGGCAAAAUAAAUCCUCUCACCUGUGCAACGGGCCAACCAGUAGUCUACCUGGGAGGCCAAGAGAGAAGAGGAGCAGCGCAGAAGGUCGCCACGCCAGCAGAAAGGAGCGGUGACAAGUUGAGGACUCCACAAAAGCAGGGAGUUUCAUUCCAGGAUAUAAAGUUUAUAUAACAUGAUGCAAACACACGAAUCAGAGACACGUAAUGAGAAAACUGAUUAGAAUGUUCCUUACAACUACAUGUUUAUUGUAUGCAAUGAUAUUAAUGAUGGCUGUGUUGUUUAUUGUUUAUAUUUUGC
ensembl:lncRNA